rnacentral:rRNA from 1 species
CAGUCGCCGCGGGAAUACGUAGGUGGCAAGCGUUGUCCGGAAUUAUUGGGCGUAAAGGGCUCGCAGGCGGUUUCUUAAGUCUGAUGUGGAAGCCCCCGGCUCAACCGGGGAGGGUCAUUGGAAACUGGGAAACUUGAGUGCAGAAGAGGAGAGUGGAAUUCCACGUGUAGCGGUGAAAUGCGUAGAGAUGUGGAGGAACACCAGUGGCGAAGGCGACUCUCUGGUCUGUAACUGACGCUGAGGAGCGAAAGCGUGGGGAGCGAACAGGAUUAGAUACCCCGGUAGUCCCUGUCUCUUAUAC